CCGGAGAAGAUCGGUUAUCCACUGAUAAUGGACAGGUCGCGGGUUCGAGUCCCGCCCCUUCGGG
rnacentral:tRNA from 1 species